CUGCCUGGCCCCCAGCCAGUUUCCUGCUAAAGAUGGCCAGAUCCUCUCGCCUGGUUUGAAGACCACAUAGCCUGGUGACGCUGGGAAUGGGAGGAAGGAGGAGCCUGCGGUACAAGCAAGAAAAGUGAUACAGAAGGUGGAAAUGGCUGGAUUGAAAAGAAGACAACUGUGAUAGAGGAUGACAGGCGCCUGAGUCAAGGCAAGCAGCAGAAUCCAGACACAGACUCAAGACACACUGGGUCCCAGAGAAACCACCUUACCAAGUCCAGAGAAAGAUGGGCCAGAGGGCCUCAGGGUGGGGGGUGGGAGGGGUCACCGACAAAACAGGGAAUGAGAAAUCUGAGGAUGGAAAUGGUGUUCACCCCGUCAGUUCCUCAGGGAAACACAGACUAACACUCCCCUCCCACCCUCUGCCCUCCUCCACUGAGAAGCCAAAUGACUGACAAUUGACUCUUGACCUUUAGCCCAAUCCCAGCCCCAAAGGGAGAAACUGAAGGUAGCUGGCUGUAACUGGAGGAGGCACGGCGGAAAUAUCUACACAUGACGAAAACAUUUCUUCACCCACCCCUGCCCUUCCAACUGCGCACUUCCACACGCUACACAGGACCGGACAUUGCAUAUGAAUGCCCUCUUCUCUCUGCAGAAACCACGCGCUACUUCCAGUGGAUGGCCCUGCUGUGAUUCCCAACCUGGAACCUUGUAUUCCUGCCCCAGUACAGAGGCAGCUCCUAUUCUCUCAUUUGACUUUGAAAGAGAUAUUUUGAGGGGGUGCCAUGCUGUCUUGGGAGAGAUUAGGAAAAGGUAUCUUCUUGCAAGUAUGUACGGCUUGGUGCCAGAACAGGUGGAUCUCGGCUCUGUCAACCCCUUAGCUGGGUACCCUAGACAACUGGACACAGAGGCCCUGGUCUGCACGUGUGCCUAUAAGAGGGGGCAGUGAGAGCCAAUGGGAUUACCUCAGGGUGCUGAAAGGCACCUCUAAAUCCUUCACCCUAUCUCACUGGCCUAAGGUGGAGGAGGGGUGGGCAGGCAGUCCCCUGGAGCUUUCCACAGAGAGGCAAGGGGCUCUGGAAAAGUGAGUGGUGGGAUGACUGAGAAGCCAGAGAAGAAAGAUGGAAAAAUCAAUGAAAUGAGUUUCUAACGGUGAGGUAAAGGACCGCCGUGUCGACAGCCUGUCGCCUGCUGCAAAAUAUGAGCUGCCCAAGUCCAUGGCAGCGGCUGACAGUGCAUCCAGCUGCCACCAUCCUCGCUGGAGGCCCCCGCCCGCCAGACCCUUCUCCAGCUGCCCUGGCCAUUCUUAUUAUAGACAGGCUCUCCCUCAGGGCUCCCAGUUUGCGGCCUCUCCGCCAGGGCUUCUUUCCUAGAUUCCUUUGAUCCAUUCAGGGCAUUUUUGACUCUUCACCACAGGCACAGGUUAUAAUUCCUGAUUGGGUGCAUCCUUUUCCUCUGCGGCUUCUGUGUUUAGCAGCCUGCUCACAGAUCUCAGAGUUGUGAUGAGCUGUGCAUCUCUUGCCAUCUCCUGUUUUACUCUAUACCUCUAGAGUCCCAACAACGCAAUGCAUAGCCAGACGUCAAGGCCAUCCCUCUCAGGGCUUCUUACAUAUAUAAGUCUGUGCUUCUUUCUGCCUUUUGGCCCACUUGGCCAACACUGAAUUCCUUGUAAUUGUCUAGGUUUGGACAAGAUUUUGGGUCUGUAUUGAUACGAACUCUGUGGCUAGCAUGUUUGUGUGCAUGCAUGCGUGUAUACUUAUUUAUUUACAUAUGGCAGAUUCCAUUGUGGUUUCAUGACUGGGAAUGGGGUGGGUUAAGGAUGCUACUUCCAAUUCAAAUCUCCGAAUCUGUCUUUAGAAACAACUCUUAACCUUUUCUGGAAACCACCUCCUUUCUCUAGCCUCCUCCGUAUCUUCCUCCUGGGCUUCUAAGACUGUUCAUUCAUGUUUUCUCCCAGGAUCUCUGCAGACUCCCCAGAUCAGCCCCUAGAAUCAGCCCUGGAUGCCUCUGAGUGUGCCCCUGACACAGUAUCUCCUCUCUCCGCCUCAGGUUUCACAGGCACUUCUGGUAACUGCCUUCCAGUCCUUUCCUCCAGUGUCUGCUUUCUCAACUCACCCAUUUAUGCAGACUUAGGCCUGAGAGCUGGGGUGAAAAGAAGGCGGGCACCUCUUCCUUAGCCUCCUCUUAUUUAUUCACCAUCUUGAUCAAUAGAUAUUAAGCAUCCCCUGUGUGACAGACAUUGUGCUAGGUGCUAGAAAACCAUCAGAAGCUAGACACAGGCAAUGCCUGCUCAUAUGGCCAUCAGGACUAACCCUGGGUCUCUCACUGACAGCUUCUCUCAGAGUCCCCCCCUACCUCCCCCUUUUACCUUCACAGCCAAGUUCCAUUCAAGAUCCUUCCUUUUCCUGUAUCCCUGUUUCACACAGCUCUCACAUGGCUCCUAUCCCCUCUAAUCUGCAUUUCCAGCUUCGUGUCCAUUCCUAAACCCAAAGCCCAAAGCGAGCUUCAUCUUACAUUUUUAGUAACUCUCCUUCCUGCUCCCAAAGCCCUUCUCCUUUCACAUUCUGUAACUGCCCAUUUCCACUCUCUUCCUUCUUUGCCUGUUUUUCAGUCCUACCAUUCCAUCCUCAAUGCCCCUGUCUCCUGAGAUCAUUUUCUCUUGCUCCUGCAGGCUCUAGUAAACCUCAGGUGCCCACAAACAAGACUUCAUUUAGAGCUAAGAAUAGCUGCAGGGAGG